UGGGGAAUAUUGGACAAUGGGGGAAACCCUGAUCCAGCCAUGCCGCGUGUGUGAAGAAGGCCCUCGGGUUGUAAAGCACUUUCAGCGAGGAAGAACGCUAGCGGUUAAUACCCGCUAGGAAAGACAUCACUCGCAGAAGAAGCACCGGCUAACUCCGUGCCAGCAGCCGCGGUAAUACGGAGGGUGCAAGCGUUAAUCGGAAUUACUGGGCGUAAAGCGCGCGUAGGUGGCUUGAUAAGCCGGUUGUGAAAGCCCCGGGCUCAACCUGGGAACGGCAUCCGGAACUGUCAAGCUAGAGUGCAGGAGAGGAAGGUAGAAUUCCCGGUGUAGCGGUGAAAUGCGUAGAGAUCGGGAGGAAUACCAGUGGCGAAGGCGGCCUUCUGACUGACACUGACACUGA
rnacentral:rRNA from 1 species